UACGGAGGGCGCAAGCGUUGCUCGGAAUCACUGGGCGUAAAGGGAGCGCAGGCGGUCGUGCAAGUCGGAUGUGAAAGCCCUCGGCUCAACCGAGGAAUUGCAUUCGAAACUGCUCGACUUGAGUGCGGUAGAGGAAAGCGGAAUUCCUGGUGUAGCGGUGAAAUGCGUUGAUAUCAGGAGGAACACCAGCGGCGAAGGCGGCUUUCUGGACCGACACUGACGCUGAGGCUCGAAAGCGUCGGGUAGCAAACGGG
rnacentral:rRNA from 1 species